rnacentral:lncRNA from 1 species
CUCCCUGCCUGAAUCUACCAGCCAGCGAAUGACAACUGACUGAGUAUAAAUACUAGGACUACAGAACCGUGAUAAAAGGAGCCUGAGCUGAGUCCACACACUGGAAGCCCAGAACUGAGGGAACAGAUGAAAGAAAGAAAGUCAGCAGGUUUAGGGGAUGAGAACAACUCACAAAGGACAAGCCAUUGGAGUCUCCUGCCCCUGGCCAGGGAGAGCCACAGGCUGGAUGACAUCUGGUUUAUAGUGAGGGGCAGCAGCAACUCCAAGAGGGGGAAGAUGUGACCAUGAGCCCCGCCCCAGACCCAGGAGGCUUGACCUUGGGGCUGCCGUAGCAGUGGAUGCUCUUCAGCUGAAUGACCUAUCCUGGGCCCGUGACCCUGGACUUCAGCCAGAUCAGCAUCUCAAGCUCCCACCCAGGUGGCCUGUCCUCACGGGCCUUGGAGUGGAGACUUGAGCCACCAACUGUCAGAGGUGGAGACUUCACAGGCACAGCUGGAGCCAAGAACCCUGGUGCCCAAUUGUCUGUGACUGCAACUGGAUCAAGGGUUUGACUGUGGCUAUGGCUUAGCCAGGCAGGAUGUUUCCUCCACCACCUGCAGCUUCACAACCAACGGUGAUCCUGGGAACCAAUGGCCCUUCCAAGAGCUGGGUUUAGAGCCUUCCCUUGAAUGAAGAACCCUCCCCAGCUGGAAGGUGAUGCUAUUGAAGGCUCAGCUGACAACAUACAUGGGCAUCAAGUCAUUGGCCACAUUCAUGCCUCAAGUGUCCUAAAACCGAAGAUGAUCAAAAGAAAACUGCUGUUCAGCAAGUGGAGACUGGCAUGCAGAUUCCCUGGCCUGCAAGCUUAGAGCAGG